rnacentral:misc_RNA from 1 species
GAUGAAGAACGUAGCGAAAUGCGAUAAGUAAUGUGAAUUGCAGAAUUCAGUGAAUCAUCGAAUCUUUGAACGCACAUUGCGCCCGCUAGUAUUCUGGCGGGCAUGCCUGUUCGAGCGUCAUUUCACCACUCAAGCCUCGCUUGGUAUUGGGCAACGCGGUCCGCCGCGUGCCUCAAAUCGACCGGCUGGGUCUUCUGUCCCCUAAGCGUUGUGGAAACUAUUCGCUAAAGGGUGUUCGGGAGGCUACGCCGUAAAACAACCCCAUUUCUAAGGUUGACCUCGGAUCAGGUAGGGAUACCCGCUGAACUUAAGCAUAUCAAUAAGCGGAGGA